GCAGCUGCCGGACACCAGGAGACGAUGGAAGGUCUAUAGUGUUACAGCUCUGACCCAGGAAGUCCCAGGGUCUUGCCUUCCAGAAGGGUCGCGGCUCUUCCCUCCCUCAGUCCAACGAACAGGAGCACGUCACCUCCCGCAGCUCGGGGAGCUGGCCAGGAACGUGUUACAGCCCGUUUCGCUCCUGUCCGCAGCUGGGUGAGGCAGCCAGGAAAAUAUUACAGCUCUUCUCACGCCCGCCAUUCAGCAGGUCCUGACUUCUUGUGUGACAUCCAGAAGAAAGGGGUUACACAGACAGCUGGAGGGUGAGCAAAGUGGAGAAGUUCUCAGCAGAGAGGAGACUGGAGUGAGUUGCCCCUACCCGCAGGAAAGACAGCAUUCAAGGAACCACCUUGUACGCAGACACUGAAACCUCGCGAGACAACAAAACUGCUGACACCUUGAUCUUGGACUUCCCAGCCUCCAGAACUAUAAACCAGCAAAGAGUACAUAGAACAAACAUUUUUUUUAGAAGGAUUAAAUGGGACAAUUAAACAAUUUGAUCAGCAUAAUGUCCAGCUCAAGGAUCUUGGAGGUGGUGAGGCAGCCCAAGUGGAAAGGCAGCAGAAGGGGUAUCCUUGUUUUACCAAUUACUCAUAUGUAGGAGAUGGUGCAUUAAAUGAAAUAUUCUCUGCUCUCUCCUAACAUCUACCCCCUCACACCAAGAGGAAGGCAUGUCGCCUGAACCUUUGCAGUAUUCAAUUAAAGUUCUAUUCACACGGUAUUGCAGUUGUUUGCUUAUCUUUCUUUCUUAUUAGACUUAAAACUUCUGGAAACUAGAGGCUAUAUUACUUAUUUGCCUCAGAGUCCUGUUGGCCUAUCAAAUGGCACACCUUCAAUCCAAGAAUGAAUUAAUUAAAUAAAUGUGAAGAAAAAAAAAAUCCAAGUUGCUUAUUUUUGUUAAAUUUAUUUUUCCCCAAAAUAUUUACUGAGAAAAUGACUCUGGGAAGAUAGCAGAGUGGAAAGCCCCAGAAAUGUGUUUCCCCACCUAGACAACAACUGUACUGGCAGAAUCUGUUUGAUGUGACUAUUCUGAAGUUCUGAAUUGAAUAAAUAUGAAGAAAAUACAAA
rnacentral:lncRNA from 1 species